rnacentral:tRNA from 1 species
GCCCGGAUGGUGGAACUGGUAGACACGAGGGACUUAAAAUCCCUUGGCCCCACGGCUGUGCGGGUUCGACUCCCGCUCCGGGUA